GGGGUUGUGGCUCAGUGGUAGAGUGCUUGCCGAGCAUAUAUGAGGUACUGGGUUGGAUCCUCAGCACCACA
rnacentral:tRNA from 1 species